GCCAGCGACGCCGGCUGAGCCGGGCUUGGAGGCAGCCAGGACCGGCUCUUCAGGGAAGGACAUCCCCACAACCAGGACCCCUGGCAAAGAGGAAUUAAAGACCCAGUUGUGUUGUGAUGUUCAUUAUUCAGAUCUCGGAGCGCUCACGGAUCUCUUGGAUGUCCCCUGCCAGCUCAACUGAUGAGACUGCUACUUUAUGUACCACUGCUUGAAAAAGAAGGGAAUCUCCUAUUUCUCACACAGGAUAACAGUUGAGAGUCAUUGCCACAAUAAAACAGACAUGUUAGCGGUCAGGUUCAUAUAAGGACUAAGCGGCCCCAUGAAUCACAUAGGACUGGCUAAUCCUAGGACACUCCUCUCUGUGGUUUGCUAGGUAGCAGAGAGGGGAAGCUAAAUAGUAGUUUCUAAUAACAACUGGGAAGGCUUUUUCUUUUUAAAUAAAAAUGGAAUUGGCAUAAUUGGGAAUGAAGAUAAAGCUUGGAACCAAGUUAGAGAAGGCAAAGUGUACGUAGAAGAGCUGUUACAAAUAUAAAACUUGGCUGCGUUCUUUGUGAAGGCUCAAACUUGGGAAGGUUAAAUACCAUAAAUUUUUUCAUUUGUUCUGUAUUUUGAUCCUGAAAAGAAAGCUGGCUUUGCCCAUGUAUUACUUUAAAAACUUGGGGGAAAGGAGAAGAAAGGGACAAGUUUUUAAAAACUGUUUGAAAACAUUACAGCUGAAAGAAGCUACAUAGGAGCUGGGUAGAGAACCUAGUGACUAAGAGAAUGAGGAAUGCCGAGUACGCAUCCUGUGGGCGGGGCUCUACCCUUGCCGCUUUCAGCGUCACUCUCAGGAUAUGACAGCAUCACUUUUGAAAAACAGGUUGUUGUUUUUUUUUUUAAAAAGGUAAGAAGACAACAAGGAGUCGGCCUCACACACUAUGGAUUAGAUUUCUUAAUCAAGUGUUCACCUUCCACCUCUCGUGGUCCUACCAUAUCACCCUUUUCUCUUGUGUUUUUCCAGAUUUAACUGCCUGAUCAAAUAGUUUUACAAGAAUAAACUCAGGAAACAGGUUGAGAAAUGAGCAGCUGAGACUGGAGUGUUCACUUUGCAAAGAACAUACUACGAAAAGAUCUGCACUCUAGGAGGUCUCAGCUGAUGAGGAAGAUGCUAGCACAGUGUCCUAUGGUCAGAAAAGAUGACCUGGCAAGAGGGGGAGUGGAGGAGAGGCAGGAAAGGGGAUCCCUUCAUGCUGAAAUCAAUGCAAUGAUGUCUGAUAUAUACAGAAAAACAGGUCUUGUAUAAAUAUGUCAUUAUAAGUGACAAGAUAAUAACAUUUUCUAGUGUAUGGAUUCUAUUUCUUUAUGUCAUUCUGGUCAACCAAAAACAAUCCUAUUUGGCAGAUUUCUGGCAUUUUGCCUCUUCCCCUAAUGACAGAUCUAAACACAUAUAUAAAAAUAGGUGGCCACAAAGAAAUAACUUCUGGCUUUAAAUGUCAUUUGGCUAGAAAUGUCUCAGGCAGCCUCUCCCAACUUUCCUGUGAUAUCUUUGAAAACAAAGAGAAAGACAAGAACUCAAAACAAGCACCAGAAACUUGACCCAAUCAAAGUCUUACCCAGAUUCUUGGAAGCAUUGUUCUUAAUUACAAGGCAAGAAACAUAGGAUUGAUACAAACCCAUCCAAAUUAUGCCUCAUGUAAUAGAAGUCAGUGGGAAGCCAGCUGCCCCUAUUUUCUUAGAGACACAGAGAUUCACGGUCUGUACCAACCAGAACACUAAGCGGGCACCCAUGUGCCAUGGAAGUCCUGCUUUUUGAGGAUGCCAGUACUACAUCUAUUUGGAGAUAGCACCUCCCAGGAAAUAACUGGCCAGGAAGUGUGUGUAUACGUGGGGGAGGGGUAGGAAGAAGGAGAACCAGCAAUUUGUACUGUAUCUUGGGAGGUGUAACUUUAACUUUACAAGCUAAACACUACAGGCAAGGGUGGAGACAGGAAGAUUCCUAAUAGCAGGACACUCUAUCAAUUGCAGUUUUGCAGGUGACUCUGUGGGUCACAAGAAUAGAGAACCAGAUGGGGAAUGUGCUACCUCAGUAGAAUGAAAAUGUUAUUUGGUGCAUGUCUGCUAGAAACUGAAAAUUGGUCUGGACUCAUGCAUGUCAACUUGUACUUCAGGUCUGAAAAGGGGAUGCAUAUGUAUAAAAUUCAACAGAAUGUACAAAUAAUUAAGAUUAAUAAGUGACCUGAGCAAGGAUGCAGAAUACAAGGUCAAUUAAUUUCUAUGUACUAGCAAUAAAUAAUUUUAAAUGAAGUAAAAAUACUAUAUACAACAUAAAAUCAUCAAAUAUUAAAGAAUAAAUACAAUAGAAUAUGUUUAAGAUCUCUACAUUGAAAACUAUAAAACACUGAAGGGAAAAUGUUUAAAAGACCAAAAUAAAUGGAGGAAUAUACCAUGUUUGUGGAUCAAAGCAUACAAUAUUGUUAAGACGUCAAUCCUCACUAAAUUCUAUUGUAAUCCCAAUCCAAAUCCCAAAUAUUCUUCUACAAUAUGGCUUUGCCACUGCCCCAUCAAUAGAAGUUUACUUUUUCUCUCUUUGAAUCUAGAUAGGCUUAUAUGCUUCAUGGCUUCCUCGGCAGGUGAUAAAUGGCAAUUCAGCUUCAACCUGGAUUACAGGAAUAGCCAUUGUUUUAGACUUCAACUGUCACGUAAGCAGUUCAGCUGAACUGAGGCACCAUGACGUGAGGAAGCCCAAAGUCAGCCUAUCUGGAGGGAUCACAUGGAGAGGUCCCAAGACUACACAAAAAGAAGAUGAUAUGAAUGCCUGGCCAGCCCCUAGCUGCUCUAGUUCCUUGCUGUUCCAGCUCCAGCCAUCAUCCAACUGCAACUGCAUGAGAGACCCCAGAAGCAUAGAGCUAAGCCCUUCCCAAAUUCCUUCCCACAGAAACCCUGAGAGAUAAUAAAUGACUGUUGUUGUUUUCAAUCACUGUUUUGAAAUUGGUUGUUAGGCAGCAAGAGAAGCCAGAACAGGGACCUUGGAAUACACAGAAUUUCUUAAUCAGGAUACAAAAAGA
rnacentral:lncRNA from 10 species